UACGUAGGGUGCGAGCGUUGCCCGGAUUUAUUGGGCGUAAAGGGCGCGUAGGCGGCUCGGCACGUCCGUUGUGAAAUCGCCCGGCUCAACUGGGCGGGGUCGGCGGAUACGGCCGAGCUGGAGCAAGCUAGGGGGUAAUGGAAUUCCCGGUGUAGUGGUGGAAUGCGCAGAUAUCGGGAGGAACACCAGUGGCGAAGGCGGUUACCUGGAGCUUUGCUGACGCUGAUGCGCGAAAGCGUGGGGAGCGAUCCGG
rnacentral:rRNA from 1 species